CCCAGCAGCCAUAUCACCCUGCAGCUCUCAACUGGAUACCCACUGAAGCUAAGCAGGGUUGAGCCUGGUCAGUACCUGGAUAGGAGACUCCUGGGAAGCUAUGGUUCCUGCUGGAA
ensembl:rRNA 5S_rRNA 5S ribosomal RNA